rnacentral:misc_RNA from 1 species
GAUGAAGAACGCAGCGAAAUGCGAUACGUAAUGUGAAUUGCAAAUUCAGUGAAUCAUCGAGUCUUUGAACGCACAUUGCGCCCCCUGGUAUUCCGGGGGGCAUGCCUGUCAGAGCGUCAUUGCUGCCCUCAAGCUCGGCUUGUGUGUUGGGCCCCGUCCUCCGAUCCCGGGGGACGGGCCCGAAAGGCAGCGGCGGCACCGCGUCCGGUCCUCGAGCGUAUGGGGCUUUGUCACCCGCUCUGUAGGCCCGGCCGGCGCUUGCCGAUCAACCCAAAUUUUUAUCCAGGUUGACCUCGGAUCAGGUAGGGAUACCCGCUGAACUUAAGCAUAUCAAUAAGCGGAGGA